UACGUAGGGGGCUAGCGUUGUCCGGAAUCAUUGGGCGUAAAGAGCGUGUAGGCGGCCCGGUAAGUCCGCUGUGAAAGUCGGGGGCUCAACCCUCGAAUGCCGGUGGAUACUGUCGGGCUAGAGUGCGGAAGAGGCGAGUGGAAUUCCUGGUGUAGCGGUGAAAUGCGCAGAUAUCGGGAAGAACACCCGUGGCGAAGGCGGCUCUCUGGGACGGUACUGACGCUGAGACGCGAAAGCGUGGGGAGCGAACAGG
rnacentral:rRNA from 1 species